UUUGCCCAGGCUCUGACCCCUCCCCCACAGUGCCCUGUGUGGGGCUUGGUGGGUGGACCUGCACAGCCUCUGCUUUUGUCCUGGUGAGCAACUCCCAGUGACCAGGGAGCUGGCUGCUGAGACUUCCCAUGGGAGCAGGCUGGGCCACGCGGCAGGAGGACCUCCUAACGCCCCGGGGAGGUGGCCCAGCCUGCACACCUGGCUAGAAGCGUCGGAAGACUAGCGGUGUGUGCUGGCUGAGCCCUUGCCCAGCCUCAUGGUGACUCGGCUGCUGGGGCCCCAGCCCUCCUUGGCCACUGACCCUUCCUCUCCCCUUCCAUUGGCCUCCGGGAAUUCCCACGUGCUGUCAUGCUCCCUCCUGGUGGCUCUCCAUGCCCCUCCUACUUUACCCCAUCACCUCUGUCUGUGCUCAGCUUGCCCCACCCCCAGACGGAGCUGGGACCUCCCUUGUCUUCCCCGCCCUCCUGUGUCCUCCACCCUGGCCUUCCUCCUCUGCUGAGCCUCGGGAGGGGAGGGGUGCACCUCGCCUCUGUCUCUGUCCCUGCUGCUGCUCACUGCUUGGGGGCCCUGCUCCCCCCAGGUUGGCCCAGCUGGGGUCCUGCACAGGGCCCUGCUCCCAGCACCCAGAAGCCCAAUAAACCUUUGUGAAACGAGUGAAUGAGUGUGAUGUGGACUUACUGGAAACUUAUUUCAGGAGAUUCUAAGGUAUUUCUUUCUGCUCUUUUGCCUGCUGGCAGCAGUGAGCAAGGUGGGGAGCGUAGGCAGUCGGGGCCCAGGGAGGCCUUAAGGCACCUGCAGCAGGGAGCACGCAGUCCCCGCGUCCUGCCCAUGGGCAUGCUGUCUAAGGCAUCCUCUCAUCCCCUGGCCACUGGGCCAAUCCAUUUCCCUUGCUGGGGUGAGCCGGCCCUCCCACGGGGACCUGGGCCUCUCCUACUGUGCUCACACGUGUCAUUUGCUUCCAGAAUGACUUCUUUUCCAACUUCCUUCCACCUCUGCGGACUCCAGUUUGGCCGGGCCGGACAGGGCGGCAGUGGCUGAGGGCUUACUGGUCUGCUUUUAGACGGGUCCUUAAGGCAGUAGGGCGUCCACACCUCCUCAGGCCUCCGCCGGCCCCUCCCAGGAGUUGGAGGUAGGACUGGGAGAGCCGGUGGAGUUCCCCUGGUGGCUGGGCAGGUUGGGAGCCAGGCCCGAGAGUUUGGCAGGGCCUGGAUGGAGUGGGGGUUUGGGUGGCAUUCCAGGCUUAGAGGCCCAGGGCUUCUGACCAAGGGGAGGAGAAAGCCCUGAAGGUGAUGGCCAGGCCACCUGCUGUGUGACCUGGGCAUGUCCCAUCCCUCCCCUCGGCCUCAUUGACAUUGCAAGGGGAUUGGGUGGCUACUUCCCAAUGCUUUCCCUGUGCAGCCCUCCACAACUCCAGAAGGUUCUAGGAAGUUUUAUAAGACUUGCCCUGGCCCCGCCUGCUGCUUUGGGGCUGGUGAGACCCACACUGGAGGGUGGAGGUACCCCUGGCUUCGCGGACUUGUUACUUGCCCCCAGCUUUUCUUUCCCCUGCCCUGCCCCUGCUCAGCUCUGGGCCCUCACAUUUUGGCCCACCCCACCCUCAAACCCUGGGCGCCAGUGCUCCUGCCAUGACUGCAGACCCAGCUCAGCAUCGGCCAUGCUCCCUGGUGCGUGGCCAGGCCCCUCCGGAGGGGGGUCCCUUUGCUUCUCUGAGCCUCCAUUUUCUCAACUGGGAGGGGAGCGUGAUGUCAUGAACACGUCAUGUGUGCGGGGCCAUGCCAGGGCUGUGUGUGUGUGAGUGUGAGUGUGAGUGUCUGCUAAUUUGUUCUCAACCUUGCUCCCAAGUGCAUUUCAAGCCUCUGGUGGGAAGCCACAGGAUCCCAGGGCUACUGCAAGUGAGAAGAAAAGGUGAAAAUAAGCGGAAGGGUCUGCUUCCCACUGGGGACACGGUGCCACCUGAGCGUCCCCACGCAGGCCUGGGACCCGUGGCAGAUCUUACGCCUUGCUAAAACCUGAGUGGUUACGGUUCUCAGUGGCCAGAGGCUAAAAAUGGCCAUCGGGCUGUGCCAAGCGCGCGGCCGUGCGUGAGGCCGAGCUGGUCGCAAUCCCAGCAGUGCUGCUUUGGAGGCGGGCUCACCAGCGAGCCGGGAUCACCAGGGCGCGGAUGCCCCAGGGCUGUGUGCCAGUCUCCGCCGUGUCUCGCGGGUGGGGAGAGAGCGGCUCGGAGAGGAGAGGGGCCCCGGGGUGGCGUGGCCGGGGCUCCGGUGAAGCCACAGAUGGGUGUGCCCAUGGGUGAUGCUGUUGGAGGCUGAGUGUGUCUUCCUGAACCUUUUUUCUCUUAGGAUCCCCACCCCGAAGCCCUGGUCCAAACCAGGCUCCCAUGGCGGCCCUGGGCACACAGAGGGAGUCAGGUGUGCUGUCUGUCCUCCGGAGCCCCUCAGCCUGGCCGGGGGCCCUGGGAGGGGAAGGCCUGCUCAGGGAGGGGGCGCUCUGGGUCUCCCUCCACACGCAGGCACACUCCUCAUCUUCCUUUGGACCUUCUGGAGCGCGCGAAGGACACAAAAGGCAGGAAAGGCCAUGUCCGGGCGGCUCUGUCUAAACACUCCCUCCGCCACAGCCAAGCUGUGUGAUCUCGGCCAAGUUACCCAAACUCUCUGUGCCUCCAUCUCAGGGAUUUGUGAAAUGGGCGGGACUUUCAGGCCCAACUCGCCAAGAGUUGCUGUGAGAAAGGUCUGGGCACUUGUGCACAGCCCCUGGGAUAGAGCCCGGUGCACGGAAUGCUGUGUAAAUAAUAGUGACCGUGGCACCGAGCCCACAGCACGCCUGGCACGGUGCCCUAGCAUUGGAGCUGCUUGGGGGAUGCUGGGGCUCCUGCUCUGGGCCACCCCCUCCCCACAAAAGGUCCUGCUGGAAAGCAGCCUGGACACAGCCAGGUCAUUAAGUUGGGGUCUCCUCCUCACAGAAGCCCAUCUCUUGGAAGCCUUUUGGCCCCCGGACGCCUCCCUGUCCCCAGUAAUUGUGUUUUGAUAGGGCCUUUAGGUUUGCAAGUGGCGGAAACUCAGUUCAAACUCACUUGAGCUAAGAAGGAAUUCACUGGCUCUAGACAGUGACGAAAGUCCUGCGAAGCCAUGCCUUCAGGCACAGCCGUGUCCAGGUGCUCAGCAAUGUGGCCAGGGUGCCGCCUCAGGGCUCUCAGCAUGUGUCUUGGGUGCAGCGCAGUCACGGGUGUUGCUGUGUUCUCAGGUGGGCACGGGGGCUGCAGAAGCCGGCUGUGCGUGACUGCUUUCCUUCUGCUGUGUCUGGUCGGCCCCCUGGAAGGCGGCGGCCGCAGUCUAGCUCCAGCGAGGGCGAAGCUCCCCUGCACUGCCGGGUCAGGGUGCCGCGGGCCAUGGGGAGGGGUGACCCUAUGGCUCCCACCAAGAAGGGCCCCUUGCUUCCUUCUCCUCCAGCUGCAGAAACUGGCCUCAUCCUUCAGGGACGGGCAUGGCCUUUCCGAAGCAGCCGACUCCGAGUCCUCUGGUUACCUGCGUCUCCCUCACCGAGCACGGGCUCCCUGAGGGCAGUCUGGGCCCGACUCACCUGCCUGCCAGGCCGGCACAUCAUGGGGCAGGUCCCAGGAGAGCUUCUGGCUCUGCACCCACUCCCAGUGUGGCCUCUCUGACCCUCGUUGCUUGCGGGGGUACACCGACGUGUGUCAGAGCAGGCGGUCCUAGCUGGUGAGUUGGGGACCCGGCUGGCCGUCUGCUGCCAGGGUGACGCUGGUAACGAACCACACAGCAACGCGUCCAUGCGCAGGCGCUGGGGGAGUCGGUGGUGCUGGGCUUGGCUGCCUGCUGAUCUGGCCGGGCUCCUGGCCUGGCCGGCUGGCCCGGGUCUGCUCUGGUGGGGACGGCAGGGGCACAGAAAGAAAGCAGCCCCCUGCACGAUGAGCUUGAGAGAAGUCACAGCUCUCUGCGUGCUUGUCCACGUCCCCUGGGCUCGGGGAAGUCAUGGGGGAGCCACUGCAGAGCUCCGUGGCACAGCACAGGGCACAGGGAGGUGUGAAGGAGUGCCUGCCACAGGGACGGAGCCGGACUGGAACCUGGGGCCACUGGCUGUGGAUGCACCCCCACCCUCACCCCCACCCUCCUAGUGUCCGUGCCCAUGCUGGACCAGAGCCAGGCCUGUUGGUCUGAGAGGCCUGGUCUUGAGGGAUGCUGUGUUCCUGUGGGGUCUCAGGUUCUCCCCUGCCCCUCCCUGCUCACAGUCCAGCCUGGAGGACCGCCGGCUCCAGGGACGGGAAGGGAGGUACAUCAUCUGUGGUCCGAAUGGCUCUGCAGGCUGACUGAUGCCCUUGACAAGUCUUUCGGGGAGCACUCUUGCCCUUCUGGGCUGCUGUCCUCACCUAGGUGAUGUGGAUGGGCUUGGUGACCCCCUGUGCCUACAACCGUGCUCCCCCAGGGCUGGCCCUGUGGGGAUGCUCGCCGCAAUGUCCGUGCUCCUUUACAGCAUGAGAAUCCUGUGACCAUCAUGGGCCCAGCUGUCACUGAGAGAGGGCCAGUCUGGUGGAGACAGCACGGAAUUGCCCUGGGCACCUGGGCUGGGCAGGAUGAAAGCCUUCCUGAGCCCGGGGGGCUGACGGUGUACUUCUGAAGGACGUCUCAGAGCCCCAGAAGGACCCAGAGUGCUG